rnacentral:rRNA from 1 species
AUGAUCACAGACAAUGCCACUAUUGCAUUCGAGUGCUUCCAUAAGAUUCAGCGUAGCAGAAAUAAACACGACACAUAUUGCGCGUACAAGUUGGACUUGGCAAAAGGGUAUGACAGGGUUGACUGGAAUUUUCUUGAAGAGGUCCUGUUAAAGUUGGGUUUCAAUCAGAAGUGGACAGCCUGGGUUAUGGAGUGUGUCCGCUCAGUGAAAUAUUCAGUCAGAUGUAACGGAGAGCUUUUGGAACAAUUCAUACCAACUAGAGGGAUACGUCAGGGUGAUCCGCUCAGUCCAUAUCUAUUCCUUUUCGUAGCUGAUGGUCUGGUUGCCCUCAUGAACAAGAAGAUAAGAGAUGGCAUGCUGACACCAGUUAAAAUUGCAAGGAACAGCCCGGGAAUAUCAAAUCUCCUUUUCGCUGACGAUAGUUUGAUUUUCUUCAAGGCCACAGUGGAGCAGGCACGAACUAUGAAAGAGGUGCUAGUUACCUUCCAGAAUGGCACAGGGCAACUGUUGAGCGAGAGUAAAUGCUCUUUACUCUUUAGUGAGCAAUGCCCGGAAGGGACUAGAGAGGAAAUUAAGAGUGUAUUGGGAGUGAUAUCUGCUUCGUUUGAGAGUAAGUAUUUGGGACUGCCGACGCCGGAAGGAAGAAUGAAGGAUGAAAACUUCCAACCGAUCUUGGAUAGAUUUGUAAAGAGAUGUAGUGACUGGUCAGGGAGGUUCAUGGCCUAUGCCGCAAAGGAAGUACAUGUCAAAUCUGUCGUACAAGCCCUGCCAUGCUUCACUAUGUGUGUUUUCCUUCUGUCGAAGGGUUUUGUGAGAAAUAUGAGAAGUUGA